UACAGAGACUGCAAGCGUUAUUCGGAUUCACUGGGCGUAAAGGGUGCGCAGGCGGCCGUGUGUGUUAGGUGUGAAAGCCCGGGGCUUAACCCCGGAAUUGCGCCUAAAACUACACGGCUAGAGUAUUGGAGAGGGUAGCGGAAUUCACGGUGUAGCAGUGAAAUGCGUAGAUAUCGUGAGGAACACCAGAGGCGAAGGCGGCUACCUGGACGAUUACUGACGCUCAGGCACGAAAGCGUGGGGAGCAAAAGGG
rnacentral:rRNA from 1 species